UACGAAGGGGGCUAGCGUUGCUCGGAAUCACUGGGCGUAAAGCGCACGUAGGCGGAUCUUUAAGUCAGGGGUGAAAUCCUGGAGCUCAACUCCAGAACUGCCUUUGAUACUGGGGAUCUCGAGUCCGGGAGAGGUGAGUGGAACUGCGAGUGUAGAGGUGAAAUUCGUAGAUAUUCGCAAGAACACCAGUGGCGAAAGCGACUUCCUGGACCAAUACUGACGCUCAUGUGCGAAAGCGUGGGGAGCAAACAGG
rnacentral:rRNA from 1 species